rnacentral:rRNA from 1 species
AUUGAACGCUGGCGGAAUGCUUUACACAUGCAAGUCGAACGGUAGAGGGGGCAACCCCUUGAGAGUGGCGAACGGGUGAGUAAUAUAUCGGAACGUGCCCAGUCGUGGGGAUAACGUAGCGAAAGUUACGCUAAUACCGCAUACGAUCUAAGGAUGAAAGCGGGGGAUCGCAAGACCUCGCGCGAUUGGAGCGGCCGAUAUCAGAUUAGGUAGUUGGUGAGGUAAAGGCUCACCAAGCCAACGAUCUGUAGCUGGUCUGAGAGGACGACCAGCCACACUGGAACUGAGACACGGUCCAGACUCCUACGGGAGGCAGCAGUGGGGAAUUUUGGACAAUGGACGCAAGUCUGAUCCAGCCAUUCCGCGUGCAGGAUGAAGGCCCUCGGGUUGUAAACUGCUUUUGUACGGAACGAAAAGGUUUCUAUUAAUACUAGGAGCUCAUGACGGUACCGUAAGAAUAAGCACCGGCUAACUACGUGCCAGCAGCCGCGGUAAAGUGACU